CUUAGCGCUACGCUCGCUGUGUCCUCGUGCUGUAGAGUGAAAUUAUUGCAGAUUCUCGGCUUGAUCUAAGUUUGACUACGGAAAGGAAAGUUUCGACCGAUGAGGCGCUGUAGACAAAGCGGCUACCUAUAGACUGGGACAGGCUUUAUUAAAGCAAAACCUCCCACUGGUUCCAAUGUGUGCGAGUUUUUCUCGUUAUGCGAAGUAAUUUACCUGAAAAAAAAAAGUAUAUUAUAUACCACAUCCAGUUUUACUUGCAGUAGAUAGAAUCUCUGUACAGUCUGGGGUGAAGCGGCGGGUGUAGUUGCUUUUAGUACCCAGCCCGCGCGAACACAGACAGACAGAAAGAACACGAUCUGCAACUGAU